rnacentral:SRP_RNA from 1 species
UGUCGGGUCCUGCGCAAUGAGAGCCCGUGAACCUCGUCAGGUCCGGAAGGAAGCAGCGAUAAGCGGUAACUCUUGUGUGCCGCAGGGGUGCCUGCAGCUG